rnacentral:rRNA from 1 species
UACGUAGGGUGCAAGCGUUAAUCGGAAUUACUGGGCGUAAAGCGUGCGCAGGCGGUGAUGUAAGACAGAUGUGAAAUCCCCGGGCUCAACCUGGGAACUGCAUUUGUGACUGCAUCGCUGGAGUGCGGCAGAGGGGGAUGGAAUUCCGCGUGUAGCAGUGAAAUGCGUAGAUAUGCGGAGGAACACCGAUGGCGAAGGCAAUCCCCUGGGCCUGCACUGACGCCCAUGCACGAAAGCGUGGGGAGCAAACAGG